rnacentral:rRNA from 1 species
CGGGAGCUUGCUCCCUUAGGUCAGCGGCGGACGGGUGAGUAACACGUGGGUAACCUGCCUGUAAGACUGGGAUAACUCCGGGAAACCGGGGCUAAUACCGGAUGCUUGAUUGAACCGCAUGGUUCAAUCAUAAAAGGUGGCUUUUAGCUACCACUUACAGAUGGACCCGCGGCGCAUUAGCUAGUUGGUGAGGUAACGGCUCACCAAGGCGACGAUGCGUAGCCGACCUGAGAGGGUGAUCGGCCACACUGGGACUGAGACACGGCCCAGACUCCUACGGGAGGCAGCAGUAGGGAAUCUUCCGCAAUGGACGAAAGUCUGACGGAGCAACGCCGCGUGAGUGAUGAAGGUUUUCGGAUCGUAAAACUCUGUUGUUAGGGAAGAACAAGUACCGUUCGAAUAGGGCGGUACCUUGACGGUACCUAACCAGAAAGCCACGGCUAACUACGUGCCAGCAGCCGCGGUAAUACGUAGGUGGCAAGCGUUGUCCGGAAUUAUUGGGCGUAAAGCGCGCGCAGGCGGUUUCUUAAGUCUGAUGUGAAAGCCCCCGGCUCAACCGGGGAGGGUCAUUGGAAACUGGGGAACUUGAGUGCAGAAGAGGAGAGUGGAAUUCCACGUGUAGCGGUGAAAUGCGUAGAGAUGUGGAGGAACACCAGUGGCGAAGGCGACUCUCUGGUCUGUAACUGACGCUGAGGCGCGAAAGCGUGGGGAGCGAACAGGAUUAGAUACCCUGGUAGUCCACGCCGUAAACGAUGAGUGCUAAGUGUUAGAGGGUUUCCGCCCUUUAGUGCUGCAGCAAACGCAUUAAGCACUCCGCCUGGGGAGUACGGUCGCAAGACUGAAACUCAAAGGAAUUGACGGGGGCCCGCACAAGCGGUGGAGCAUGUGGUUUAAUUCGAAGCAACGCGAAGAACCUUACCAGGUCUUGACAUCCUCUGACAACCCUAGAGAUAGGGCUUCCCCUUCGGGGGCAGAGUGACAGGUGGUGCAUGGUUGUCGUCAGCUCGUGUCGUGAGAUGUUGGGUUAAGUCCCGCAACGAGCGCAACCCUUGAUCUUAGUUGCCAGCAUUCAGUUGGGCACUCUAAGGUGACUGCCGGUGACAAACCGGAGGAAGGUGGGGAUGACGUCAAAUCAUCAUGCCCCUUAUGACCUGGGCUACACACGUGCUACAAUGGGCAGAACAAAGGGCAGCG